rnacentral:sRNA from 1 species
CAUGGGCUGAAACAAAGCAACUGGUUGCGACCGCCGUCGCCCUUCGCGCUUUAUCCAUCCGGACCUUAUUCCCACCGAACAACUCACCUCCUCCAUGAAGCAGAUCCUGCAUUCGAAGAACUGAGGUGCUGGAAAUAAGAAGGUGUCAUUCACGAUUAUUGCACUUCAGGCUGCAGGCGCCUCGUUGCAUUGAUCCGAUCUCGCAUUCCAUCGAGAGAUAUCAAUGGCUGAGAGGCAAUGGCAAUUUUAGAUAUGACUGGGGCGAUGUACCAUUUUCCACUGCGCCGGCGUUGUUUGCAGGCGCUCUUAUUCUUAUAACCACUGCCUGACAGGCCAGCAUCAUUGAGGAUGAAUUGGCAGUUUUGGUUCAGUGGAAUAGCCUGACGCUACCGAUGACCGUGAAGCACAAUGCUAUGG